rnacentral:rRNA from 1 species
UACGAAGGGGGGCUAGCGUUGUUCGGAAUUACUGGGCGUAAAGCGCACGUAGGCGGAUUGUUAAGUCAGAGGUGAAAUCCCGGAGCUCAACUUCGGAACUGCCUUUGAUACUGGCAAUCUCGAGUCCGGAAGAGGUUAGUGGAAUUCCCAGUGUAGAGGUGAAAUUCGUAGAUAUUGGGAAGAACACCAGUGGCGAAGGCGGCUAACUGGUCCGGUACUGACG